GCCGAGCCUUUGUAAAUCUCCUUCGACGAGUCGAGUAGUUUGGGAAUGCUGCUCAAAAUGGGAGGUAAAUUUCUUCUAAAGCUGAAUAUUGGCCAGAGACCGAUAGCGCACAAGUAGAGUGAUCGAAAGAUGAAAAGAACUUUGGAAAGAGAGUUAAACAGUACGUGAAAUUGCUGAAAGGGAAACGCUUGAAGUCAGUCGCGUUGGCCAGGGAUCAACCUUGCUUUUUUGCUUGGCUUACUUUCUGGUUGAUGGGUCAGCAUCAAUUUUGACUGGUGGAAAAAGUUCAAGGGAAUGUGGCAUCUUCGGAUGUGUUAUAGCCUUUGUUCACAUAUAUCAGUUGGGAUUGAGGAACUCAGCACGCCGCAAGGCCGGGUUUUUAACCACGUACGUGCUUAGGAUGCUGGCAUAAUGGCUUUAAUCGACCCGUCUUGAAACACGGACCAAGGAGUCUAACAUGCCUGCGAGUGUUUGGGUGAAAAACCCGAGCGCGUAAUGAAAGUGAAAGUUGAGAUCCCUGUCAUGGGGAGCAUUGACGCCCGGAUCUGACCUUCUGUGACGAUUCUGCGGUAGAGCAUGUAUGUUGGGACCCGAAAGAUGGUGAACUAUGCCUGAAUAGGGUGAAGCCAGAGGAAACUCUGGUGGAGGCUCGUAGCGAUUCUGACGUGCAAAUCGAUCGUCAAAUUUGGGUAUAGGGGCGAAAGACUAAUCGAACCAUCUAGUAGCUGGUUCCUGCC
rnacentral:rRNA from 1 species